rnacentral:sRNA from 1 species
ACUCUUCCUCCAUCAGCCUGGCUGGCAGCAGCCUCGGACUCCGCCCGUGGAGCCCUGGGCCUGUUGACCCACCAGCUUAGGAGCACUCACCAAGCUCUGGGUAAGGAAGCUCACCUUCUGGGGCUCUUAUGGGAAAAUAGAGGUCAACGUGGAGGUACCAGGCCACCAUGCUCAGUCUCAAGCUGCCCCAACUUCUUCAAGUCCACCAGGUCCCCCGGGUGUUCUGGGAAGAUGGCAUCAUGUCUGGCUACCGCCGCCCCACCAGCUCGGCUUUGGACUGUGUCCUCAGCUCCUUCCAGAUGACCAACGAGACGGUCAACAUCUGGACUCACUUCCUGCCCACCUGGUACUUCCUGUGGCGGCUCCUGGCGCUGGCGGGCGGCCCCGGCUUCCGUGCGGAGCCGUACCACUGGCCGCUGCUGGUCUUCCUGCUGCCCGCCUGCCUCUACCCCUUCGCGUCGUGCUGCGCGCACACCUUCAGCUCCAUGUCGCCCCGCGCGCGCCACAUCUGCUACUUCCUGGACUACGGCGCGCUCAGCCUCUACAGCCUGGUUUCCUGGAGCUGGAAAGCCCUGGGCUCAGUAAGGUCCUCCGCACAGGAGCCUUCGCCUAUCCCUUCCUGUUCGACAACCUCCCACUCUUUUAUCGGCUCGGGCUGUGCUGGAGCAGGGGCCACAGCUGUGGGCAGGAGGCCCUGAGCACCAGCCAUGGCUACCACCUCUUCUGCGCGCUGCUCACUGGCUUCCUCUUCGCCUCCCACCUGCCCGAAAGGCUGGCACCAGGACGCUUUGACUACAUCGGCCACAGCCACCAGCUAUUCCACAUCUGUGCAGUGCUGGGCACCCACUUCCAGCUGGAGGCAGUGCUGGCUGAUAUGGGAUCACGCAGAGCCUGGCUGGCCACACAGGAACCUGCCCUGGGCCUGGCAGGCACAGUGGCCACACUGGUCUUGGCUGUAGCCGGGAACCUACUCAUUAUUGCUGCUUUCACAGCCACCCUGCUUCGGGCCCCCAGUACAUGCCCUCUGCUGCAGGGUGGCCCACUGGAGGGGGGUACCCAGGCCAAACAACAGUGAGGUGCCAUCCCUGACCCUGUUCUGGAGGGGGCAGAGGCCAGGCCCCAGUGCUGACGAGGAGCCCAGAUUUGGGCCUAAUCAGGUGGGGACGCAUCUCAGCCUGGAACCAACAGGGGCUGAGGAGAGAGGGCAGAGAAGAGGAGAGGUGUCUAGGAGGACUGGCAGAGUGUGAGAGGGACCAUGACGGGGCUCUUGAUGGGAGUGGAAGAAGUGCUGAGGGUCUGAGAGGGGAGAUGCAUGCGUGUCCAGGCUGAAGAUGCCCCUAUACUCUGUCAAAGGUUGGGGUGGGGAGGUGUUGGGGUCCUUUCAUCUGGCUCCAUUUCUGGUGCUCCUGGAAGUCCCUGCUCAGCACAGGGAAGAACUAACAUGACUAACCUAGGCCUACCCUGAAUGCUUCUUGCUAACCAGGCCGAGAGGCCACACACUUGCCCCCCCAUCCCCACAAACCAGGUAAUGCCAGUUUGCCAGCAGCUAUUUGCCUAUAGAGAUGAGUCUGUCCUGGUCAUAACUGUGUACUCAAGGUGUCCAGGCUUUGGGGGGUGGGCCUAUCUGGGUGCAUUAUGGAUGGUUUGGUGGAUUGAGGUGUGGGGAGGAGGGUCCUAGGCUAGAGGGGGGAUCCCUAGUUAGACUUUGGGAAGCUACCUUCAAUGUUUUCUGGAACAAGGCAGGUACAAAUAAAAAAAUAAAACUUUG